rnacentral:misc_RNA from 1 species
UUAAGUUCAGCGGGUAGUCCUACUCGAUUUGAGGUCAAGUUGUCAGUUGUUGUCCGAAGACGGUUUGAAGCACAGAGCUCCCGAUCGGCCACCCUCUGUGAGGAGGUGCCGGCGAAGACACUUAUCACGCCGUACUAUGUCCAACCGAAAGGUGCACUAAUGCAUUUAAGGUGAGCCACAGUAACGCAGCAACACCCAAG